UCAUCAGCCCCCGAGUCCGGAUCGGCUAUUGCUUGGCUGGUUUGGGCUGGCUACGCGGAAAAGGGGUCCCGCCAGGAUGGAUCGGCGCCACCCGGAGUAAGAUCGCGGCCAUGGCUAAGAGGCUAGGCGGGGGCUCCGCUGCUUCCUCUGGGGAGGACUUCUCCUUCGUCAGCCCGCUGGUCAAAUACCUGCUUUUCUUCUUCAACAUGGUUUUCUGGAUGAUAUCCAUGGUGAUGGUGGCAGUGGGAGUCUACGCCCGGCUGAUGAAGCACGCAGAGGCUGCCAUGGCUUGCCUUGCCGUGGACCCUGCCAUCCUCCUCAUCGUAGUUGGUACUCUGAUGUUUUUCAUCACUUUCUGUGGCUGCAUUGGCUCCCUGCGUGAGAACAUCUGUUUGCUGCAGACGUUCUCAGUCUGCCUGACGGUCAUCUUCCUGCUGCAGCUGGCAUCUGGCGUCCUGGGAUUUGUCUUCUCCGAUAAGGCACGUGGGAAGGUGAGCGAGAUUGUCAACAAUGCCAUUGUGCAUUACCGGGAUGAUUUGGACCUCCAAAACCUCAUCGACUUUGGCCAGAAGGAGUUCAGCUGCUGUGGGGGCAUCUCCUAUAAAGACUGGUCCCAGAACAUGUACUUCAACUGCACAGCCCACAACCCCAGCCGAGAACGCUGCUCCGUGCCUUAUUCCUGCUGCCUGCAAACUGAUGAUCAGUCGGUCAUCAACACCAUGUGCGGCCAGGGAAUGCAGGCUCUCAACUACCUGGAGGCCAGUGAGUUCAUCUACACCAACGGCUGCAUCGACAAGCUGGUGAACUGGAUCCAUAGCAACCUCUUCCUCCUCGGUGGAGUAGCCCUUGGCUUGGCUAUUCCACAGCUGGUUGGGAUCUUGCUCUCCCAGGUUCUCGUCAACCAGAUCAGAGACCAGAUUAAGCUGCAGCUCUACAACCAGCAGCAUCGAGCCGACCCCUGGUACUGAAAGGACUUGAGUGCAGGGAAGGAGCCCCUCUGGUGAGGACCAGAUUUUUCUGAGCAAGCUUCCUCCUGCAAGGAGUUUCUUGGGGGAGCCUCACUGUCUCUCGCAAGAGCAGAAGCGAACUUUUCCCAACCGCGUCUGCAGGAAGCUUGAAAACUGACUUUUCCGCUCCCGAAAGUUAAGUCUUUUUUUUUAAAAAAAGGAUCAUAGCGGAGGAUGGCAGCGUAAAGAGGCAGAGCUCUUGGUAGCCCACCUUCCAUCGGCAUUUGCCAUCCUAGGGAUCAAGCCUUCUGUCGCGGAGGCUGUGGUGGUGAUGGCUUGAGAUGGGAGAGGCUGGCUUUGCACUCAGAGGAGCAAAGUCACCCUCUGGGCCUCCAGUGAAAUUGGGACUCUGCUCCCUGAUGGGGAAGUCUCAGAGCAAGCCAACAAAUUACGCACAGCGUGGAGAAAGGUCCCCCCCCCAUAACACCAGAACUUGGGGACAUCCAAUGAAGCUGUGAUCGUUGGAAUAUUCAGGUCAGACAAAAGAAAGGACAUCUUUACACAGCCUGUAGUUAAACUAUGGAAUUUGUUCUUGCAAGCUGUAGUGAGGGCCACCAACUUGAAUGGCUUUAAAAGAGGAUUAGACAAACUCAUAGAGAAUAAGGCAGUCGGUGGCUACUAGACAUGACAGCUGUGCUCUGCCCUCCACUGUCGGAGGCAGUAAACUCCUCUGGAAACCAGUUGCUGGGAAUCGCAAGUAGAGGCAGCGCAGUUGUGUUCAGGUCCUGCUUUUGGGCUUCCCAGGAGAGGCAUCUGGUUGGCCGCUGUGAGAACAGGAUAUGCUGGACUAGAUGAGCCCCAGUUGAUCCCCAGUUGAUCCAAAGGCAGAGCACUUGAGAGUGGAGCCCAGUGGAUGGGUGGGUGAGUCUUUGCUUCUUAUGCUUGAUGAGCCAACUGGGACCUUCAAUGGAGUCAGCAUGAAUGCAGGAGCUGGAAGGAGGUUGCCCCGGUGGGCUAAGAGAGGCCUCUUCUCUGAAUGCCUCCCAAGAAGCAAAGGAAUGGCCUCCCAAACUUUCCUUGGGCUCCCUGAAGAUGUUUCCCCAGAGGAAGGGACCCCUUGCCAGGGGCUGGCAGAAUGAGGAUGAAGUGGGAGAGGGUCGCUCUCGACAGCUGCUCUAUAGGGGAAGGGUGGAAUUCAGUGCUAGUCCUACUAAGAGUAAACCCACUGAAGUUAACGGACAUAAGUUGUGGUCACUGAUUUCAAUAGGUCUACUUUGCAUAGGGCUUAGUUGAACACAACCCAUAAUAAAUACUUCCCAGUGCAGCUUCCAUUUAGAGACGUGAAGACUAGGAGGGAAAAAAACCAAACAAAAUGGGCUUUCCGGUUUUGUUUUUCAAUGUUGGGGGGGGGGAGCAUGUUGGUUAUUUCCCCGGCCCUUCACAUCUCUGUACCUGAUGCUGGGUGGCUACCUUUGGUCACCCCCUCUGGGCUGCUGGGUGGCUUCCUCAAUGGCUGCCUUGCCACUGAUGCCCUAAACUUCAGUAUAAUCUACCUCACCAUUGACAUGUGGUCUGUAGUACUCUCCUCAUGUGUUACAGAGGGGCAAUAUUUACACAAAAGGGCCACCCAUUUUGCCCCACAGCCCCCCAUCUGUUGAGAGGUAACUUCUGAAAAGGGGAGCCUUUUCUAUUGGUGGAGGCUUCCUAUACGAAACCUGCGAGAUCAGU